rnacentral:lncRNA from 1 species
GGAUAGUGCUUGGGUGCAUGCAUGGCAACUGGGCAUUGGGCUCAAACCCAAUGUUAUUGAGUCUCUAGGAUUACUUGCACUUAGCUUAAGGAAGGAAUUAUUUAUUUCUUAACAUAUAUUAAAUUUAUUUCAAUGAUUAUUCAAUUUCAUGGUAAAAUAAGUAUUUAUCCGUUUAAGAACAUUGGUAAGUGCUGAAAAAAUAUUAAAUUAUAGACUAAUCAGCACUUAUCACACCUUCAAACUUAUGUUUUGCUAGUCCUCGAGCAAAAUAAAACUAGAAAAGAAGAAU